rnacentral:tRNA from 1 species
GCCUGGGUGGCUCAGUCGGUUGAGCGUCCGACUUCAGCUCAGGUCACGAUCUCACAGUCUGUGAGUUCGAGCCCCACGUCAGGCU